CUCCUUUGACGUUAGCGGCGGACGGGUGAGUAACACGUGGGUAACCUACCUAUAAGACUGGGAUAACUUCGGGAAACCGGAGCUAAUACCGGAUAAUAUUUCGAACCGCAUGGUUCGAUAGUGAAAGGUGGUUUUGCUAUCACUUAUAGAUGGACCCGCGCCGUAUUAGCUAGUUGGUAAGGUAACGGCUUACCAGGGCGACGAUACGUAGCCGACCUGAGAGGGUGAUCGGCCACACUGGAACUGAGACACGGUCCAGACUCCUACGGGAGGCAGCAGCC
rnacentral:rRNA from 1 species